rnacentral:rRNA from 1 species
AUUGAACGCUGGCGGCAGGCCUAACACAUGCAAGUCGAGCGAGCGGCGGACGGGUGAGUAAUAUCUGGGAGACUGCCUGAUGGAGUGGGAUAACUACUGGAAACGGUAGCUCAUACCCCAUACCAUCAGCUAUCCCCCGAUGGGAUUAGCUCGUAGGGGGGGUAACGGCUCACCUAGGCGACGAUCCCUAGCUGGUCUGAGAGGAUGACCAGCCACACUGGAACUGAGACACGGUCCAGACGCCUACGGGAGGCAGCAGUGGGGAAUAUUGCACAAUGGGCGCAAGCCUGAUGCAGCCAUGCCGCGUGUGUGAAGAAGGCCUUCGGGUUGUAAAGCACUUUCAGCGGGGAGGCGUUACCCGCAGAAGAAGCACCGGCUAACUCCGUGCCAGCAGCCGCGGUAAUAC